UUAUGAUUAGUGGCGCACGGGUGAGUAAUAUAUAGGUAAUGUACCUCUUAGUCUGGGAUAGCCACUGGAAACGGUGAUUAAUACCGGAUACUCCUUUUCAUUUCAAGAUGAAUCGGGAAAGUUUUUCGCUAAGAGAUCGGCCUAUAUCCUAUCAGCUAGUUGGUGAGGUAAUGGCUCACCAAGGCAAUGACAGGUAGCUGGACUGAGAGGUUGACCAGCCUCGAUGGGACUGAGACACGGCCCAUACUCC
rnacentral:rRNA from 1 species